rnacentral:rRNA from 1 species
GAUGAACGCUGGCGGCGUGCCUAAUACAUGCAAGUCGAGCGAACGGACGAGAAGCUUGCUUCUCUGAUGUUAGCGGCGGACGGGUGAGUAACACGUGGAUAACCUACCUAUAAGACUGGGAUAACUUCGGGAAACCGUAGCUAAUACCGGAUAAUAUUUUUAACCGCAUGGUUCAAAAGUGAAAGACGGUCUUGCUGUCACUUAUAGAUGGAUCCGCGCUGCAUUAGCUAGUUGGUAAGGUAACGGCUUACCAAGGCAACGAUGCAUAGCCGACCUGAGAGGGUGAUCGGCCACACUGGAACUGAGACACGGUCAAGACUCCUACGGGAGGCAGCAGUAGGGAAUCUUCCGCAAUGGGCGAAAGCCUGACGGAGCAACGCCGCGUGAGUGAUGAAGGUCUUCGGAUCGUAAAACUCUGUUAUUAGGGAAGAACAUAUGUGUAAGUAACUGUGCACAUCUUGACGGUACCUAAUCAGAAAGCCACGGCUAACUACGUG